rnacentral:rRNA from 1 species
UACGUAGGGUGCAAGCGUUGUCCGGAAUUAUUGGGCGUAAAGCGCACGUAGGCGGUCUCGUAAGUCGGGUGUGAAAGCCCCAGGCUUAACCUGGGAAGUGCACUCGAAACUGCGAGGCUUGAGUAUGGAAGAGGGUCUCGGAAUUCCCGGUGUAGAGGUGAAAUUCGUAGAUAUCGGGAGGAACACCAGUGGCGAAGGCGGAGACCUGGGCCAAUACUGACGCUGAGGUGCGAAAGCGUGGGGAGCAAACAGG